rnacentral:sRNA from 1 species
GCCAGGCACAGUGGCUUGUGCCUGUAAUCCCAGCACUUUGGGAGGCUGAGGUGGGAGGAUCACCUGAGGUCAGGAGUUCAAGACCAGCCUGGCCAACAUGGUGAAACCCUGUCUCUA